rnacentral:rRNA from 1 species
GGCUCAGGACGAACGCUGGCGGCGUGCUUAACACAUGCAAGUCGAACGAUGAUGCCCAGCUUGCUGGGUGGAUUAGUGGCGAACGGGUGAGUAACACGUGAGUAACCUGCCCUUGACUUCGGGAUAACUCCGGGAAACCGGGGCUAAUACCGGAUAUGAGCUACCUUCGCAUGGGGGUGGUUGGAAAGUUUUUCGGUCAAGGAUGGGCUCGCGGCCUAUCAGCUUGUUGGUGGGGUGAUGGCCUACCAAGGCGACGACGGGUAGCCGGCCUGAGAGGGCGACCGGCCACACUGGGACUGAGACACGGCCCAGACUCCUACGGGAGGCAGCAGUGGGGAAUAUUGCACAAUGGGCGAAAGCCUGAUGCAGCGACGCCGCGUGAGGGAUGAAGGCCUUCGGGUUGUAAACCUCUUUCAGCAGGGAAGAAGCGCAAGUGACGGUACCUGCAGAAGAAGCGCCGGCUAACUACGUGCCAGCAGCCGCGGUAAUACGUAGGGCGCAAGCGUUGUCCGGAAUUAUUGGGCGUAAAGAGCUCGUAGGCGGUUUGUCGCGUCUGGUGUGAAAACUCGAGGCUCAACCUCGAGCUUGCAUCGGGUACGGGCAGACUAGAGUGCGGUAGGGGAGACUGGAAUUCCUGGUGUAGCGGUGGAAUGCGCAGAUAUCAGGAGGAACACCGAUGGCGAAGGCAGGUCUCUGGGCCGCAACUGACGCUGAGGAGCGAAAGCAUGGGGAGCGAACAGGAUUAGAUACCCUGGUAGUCCAUGCCGUAAACGUUGGGCACUAGGUGUGGGGCUCAUUCCACGAGUUCCGUGCCGCAGCAAACGCAUUAA